rnacentral:lncRNA from 1 species
UGAGACCUAUGAUCCAAACAACCAUGAACACAGUCCAAUAGAAGUCAACAAAAGUAAAAAAAAAGUAUAAAAUGCAAUAAAGUAAAAUAAAAUGCAUCAGAAAGUUCUUUCAAAAUGAAUUUUAAAAGGUAAAUAAAAGAGAAAAUCCAUAACGUUCUUCAAGACACCAAAUAAAUGACCAAGAAAAUUAUGGAAUGCUGGAAGUUAAUUAAGAAGUAUAUAAUAU